GCAUUGGUGGUUCAGUGGUAGAAUUCACGCCUGCCACGCGGGAGCCCCGGGUUCGAUUCCUGGCCAAUGCA
rnacentral:tRNA from 1 species